rnacentral:misc_RNA from 1 species
CUGCCCUCCAGCACGGCUGGGUGUUGGGCGCUGUCCCCCCGGGGACACGCCCCAAAAGCAGUGGCGGCGCCGCGUCGGGUCCUCGAGCGUAUGGGGCUUUGUCACCCGCUCGGGAGGGACUCGGUCGGCGCUGGUCUUCCUUCAGGCGACCCUUCGGGGUUCGUCUCUUCCGG